GCUCUUGGGCAAGGCGAAAUUUCUCGCACACGGCCCUCCACUCGAUACUGUUGUUGGCAGCCAUGUUUCCCUCUAGCAAUAAAUAGUGUUCACCAGCAGAGAUUCUCUGGCUCCAUCUACAGGUCAAUGAAAGUCAGAGAUGUAAACAAACAGGCUUCCUGUGGGGUGUGAGUUGUUGGCGGAUGUGGCAGGUGAAGUACUUUAUACAUGGGCUUGUUCCAGUACCCACAUUUGCGGUUUUUCCUCCGUGUGGUCAAAAUAUCUCAAGUGUAAAGUCCCCGUGUUACUUAGAAAUAACAGAUUCUGAACCAUCUAAAACAAGUUGUCAGUAAUCUAAUUAAAGCAAUGUCUAAAUUACUUCCCUAUACUGGGGGAAAAUAGCCUAAAUAAAAUUCUCUUAACCAUGUUCUGUAAAAUGCAA